GGACUACAGGGGUAUCUAAUCCCGUUUGCUCCCCUGGCCUUCGUGCCUCAGCGUCAGUAACUGUCCAGAAACUCGCCUUCGCCACUGGUCUUCCUUACGAUCUCUACGCAUUUCACUGCUACACCGUAAAUUCCAGUUUCCUCUCCAGUACUCUAGUCUCCCAGUAUUCAAUGCAAUUCCAGGGUUAAGCCCCGGGAUUUCACAUCAAACUUAGGAAACCGCCUACGCACCCUUUACGCCCAAUGAAUCCGAACAACGCUCGGGACCUCUGUAUUACCGCGGCUGCUGGCAC
rnacentral:rRNA from 1 species